UUGCCCCAGUAACGGCGAGUGAAGCGGCAGGAGCUCAAAUUUGAAAUCUGGGGCCCCCGGCCUCCGAGUUGUAAUUUGGAGAGGCUCCUUCGGGGGGGAGCGCUGGCCCAUGUUCCUUGGAACAGGACGUCGCAGAGGGUGAGAAUCCCGUGCCAGGCCGGCUGCCUCCUCCCGCGUGAAGGGCCUUCGACGAGUCGAGUUGUUUGGGAAUGCAGCUCCAAGCGGGUGGUAAAUUUCAUCUAAAGCUAAAUACCGGCGGGAGACCGAUAGCGCACAAGUAGAGUGAUCGAAAGAUGAAAAGCACUUUGAAAAUAGAGUCAAAAAGUACGUGAAAUUGUUGAAAGGGAAGCGCUUGAGACCAGACUCAGACCCAGGCAAACACCGCGCCCCCAGGGGCCGUGCAAUUGCCCGGUGCUGGGCCAGCAUCAGUUGGCGUGGCGGGACAAGGGCGCGGGAAAUGUGGCUCCCCUCGGGGAGUGUUACCAGGCCCGCGCCGGAUGCCGCCGACGCCGACUGAGGACCGCGCCUCGGCUAGGAUGCUGGCUUAAUGGCCUUCAGCGACCCGUCUUGAAACACGGACCAAGGAGUCUAACAUCUAUGCGAGUGUUUGGGCGCCAAACCCUUGCGCGGAAUGAAAGUGAGCGGAGGUGGGAACCCCUCAACCGGGCGCACCAUCGACCGAUCCUGAUGUCUUCGGAUGGAUUUGAGUAGGAGCAUAGCUGUUGGGACCCGAAAGAUGGUGAACUAUGCCUGAAUAGGGUGAAGCCAGAGGAAACUCUGGUGGAGGCUCGCAGCGGUUCUGACGUGCAAAUCGAUCGUCAAAUUUGGGUAUAGGG
rnacentral:rRNA from 1 species